rnacentral:piRNA from 1 species
GAACUAAGAAGCCAACCUUGAGGGACC